rnacentral:rRNA from 1 species
GACGAACGCUGGCGGCGUGCUUAACACAUGCAAGUCGAGCGGAAAGGCCCUGCUUUUGUGGGGUGCUCGAGUGGCGAACGGGUGAGUAACACGUGAGUAGCCUGCCCUUGACUUUGGGAUAACUUCAGGAAACUGGGGCUAAUACCGGAUAGGAGCUCCUGCUGCAUGGUGGGGGUUGGAAAGUUUCGGCGGUUGGGGAUGGACUCGCGGCUUAUCAGCUUGUUGGUGGGGUAGUGGCUUACCAAGGCUUUGACGGGUAGCCGGCCUGAGAGGGUGACCGGCCACAUUGGGACUGAGAUACGGCCCAGACUCCUACGGGAGGCAGCAGUGGGGAAUAUUGCACAAUGGGCGGAAGCCUGAUGCAGCAACGCCGCGUGCGGGAUGACGGCCUUCGGGUUGUAAACCGCUUUCGCCUGUGACGAAGCGUGAGUGACGGUAAUGGGUAAAGAAGCACCGGCUAACUACGUG